rnacentral:rRNA from 1 species
UGCCAGCCGCCGCGGUAAUACGGAGGGUGCAAGCGUUGUUCGGAAUUAUUGGGCGCAAAGAGCGCGCAGGCGGAAUAUUAAGUCAGGUGUGAAAACUGGGGGCUCAACCUCCAGCCUGCACUUGAAACUGGUGUUCUGGAGUCCCGGAGAGGCAGGUGGAAUUUCAGGUGUAGCGGUGAAAUGCGUAGAUAUCUGAAGGAACAUCAGUGGCGAAGGCGACCUCCUGGACUGAUAUUGACGCUGAGGUGCGAAAGCGUGGGGAGCAAACAGGAUUAGAUA